rnacentral:rRNA from 1 species
UACAGAGGUCCCAAGCGUUGUUCGGAUUCAUUGGGCGUAAAGGGUGCGUAGGUGGCGUCGUAAGUCGGGUGUGAAAUCUCGGGGCUUAACUCCGAAACUGCAUUCGAUACUGCGCGGCUCGAGACAGGUAGGGGAGAUCGGAAUUCCUGGUGUAGCGGUGAAAUGCGCAGAUAUCAGGAGGAACACCGGUGGCGAAGGCGGAUCUCUGGGCCUGUUCUGACGCUGAGGCGCGAAAGCUAGGGGAGCGAACAGG